rnacentral:lncRNA from 1 species
AAACUAUAGAGGUCUCCGGAAAAGUUAACGCCUUUAACAUUCCGGUUUCCUGUAGUGACUGGAAAAGAUUUUAGAAAAGGUUUGAGGAUGUAUUAUUUAUGUUACGGAGACUUACAAUGUAGGUUUCACCUUUCACGCCCUCCAGAAACCCAAAUACAAUGCUCGCAUCUCACAAAGAAUACACUGCAAAUGGCAGACCUACCUUUCCUUAUCACCAGCUUAAUAAUGCACUUUGCCAUCGGCCCACAUACUAUCCUCAAUAAACUGAAAAUUGAAUUCACCCUUGUCAUGUGGGUUCCUCAUGUGCUAGACAAUGCCAGUCACUUCCAAACUGCUUGUUCUACACCUAUUGGGCAAUGCUAGCCAGCCAAUCACUCUGGUUAUGUACUGUGCCCUAACCGCUGCACAAACUGGGUUGCCUAUAGUAUUUUGCUAGUAUACAACCCUGGGUGGCACAUUCAUUCUCGAAGCUGCUAUGCAGCUCCUGUAGUUUGUGCUCACUAUUUAGUUAAUUGUUCCCACAUUAUAUGAGUAUAUUCUGUGCACGUUCUGUUAAGGUAUACACAUGAUAUACUUAACUCAUUGGGAAGACUUAUUAAAUCAUGAGUGCAAAUUAAUAGAUGGUAAGGACCCAUGGUUUCCCAGCAUGACAUUGCCCAGAGCAUAACACUGCCUCCGCUGGCCUACCUUCCACCAUAGCGCAUCCUGCUGCUAUCUCCAGAUAAACUGCGUGCAUACACCCAGCCAUCCACCUGAUCUUAAAGAAACUUGACUCAUCAUACCUUCCAUUGGUCAAUUUCUGACACUCACGACCCCAUUGAAGGUGUUUUCAGCAGUAAACUGGUGUUACUAUGGGCACUCUGACCGGUCUGCAGCUGUGCGGCCCCAUACGCAGCAAACUGCGAUGCACCUUUCUACCAUGAGCAACACUAAGGUUUUAAUCUGUUUGAGUUACAGUAGCUCUUCUGUGUGAUCCGACAAGUCUUUGCUCUUUACGUGCAUCAAAGAGCCUUGGGCGCCCGUGACCCUGAUGCCUGUUCACCGGUUGCCUUUCCUUGCACCUUUGCAUGCCUGCAACCCACAAGACUUGUAAUUUUAGAGCUGCUCUGAGCCAAUCAUCUAGCCAUCACUGUUUUGGCCCUUGUCAAAGUCACUCAAAUCUUUUCUUUUAAAAAUAUGGUAGCACACUUAUCAAAGUAGGUAUUUCAGUCUAAAUUACAAUUAUAUGCAAAGAGUUUUAAAACCUUUCUUAUCCUUUCCAAUCACCACUGUUGGUAAAUCCACUCUUUAUCAAAAUAAUGUUGUUGUAUUGAUAUAAACAUAUGUCUAUUCCUUUAAGACAAGCAUGUCAAACUCAAAGGCUAACAAGGGCCAAAUAAACAAAGUUUCAGUUUAUGUGGGCCACAAAAAAACCCCAAAACUUCAGUUUUCAUUGAAACGUAGGCUUAUUAUAAAAAGAACUGUAUAAAAAAAGUUGCCUAACUGACACUAGACAUCCUCACGCUCGUAAGGCUUCAAAGUAAACAAAAGAGCACAUUUAUUUUAAGGAGAUGUGUAUUUGCAUAUAACCAAUGUUUGUUCAACUACAAUGACAUAUUAAGAAAUGUUUGGUAAUGGGAUUGAAAUGGUGAAUGUAUGCUGUUGCACAGCUGUAAAAAAAACAAGUCGUUGUCUUGUUGAUUUUAAAGUCCUAUGAGUGUGUUCUUCACUUUGGCUAAGAUCAUCAAACUUAAUGAUCUGAGCCAGACAUAAUGCUUUCCCAAAUGUGCAUGUGUGGCAAAAAGCUGCGCUGCCGAUCAGCAUCACCAUGCAGACCAAAUCCAAUACACUGCCCCCCCCCCACCCAUUCUAAUACAUUGCCCCCAAAUCCAAUACACUGCCCCUCCUCC